CCUACGGGUGGCAGCAGUGAGGAAUAUUGGUCAAUGGGCGCAAGCCUGAACCAGCCAAGUCGCGUGAGGGAUGACGGUCCUAUGGAUUGUAAACCUCUUUUGUCGGGGAGCAAGGCCCGCCACGUCUGGCGGGAAGGAGAGUACCCGACGAAAAAGCAUCGGCUAACUCCGUGCCAGCAGCCGCGGUAUUACGGGGGCUGCGAGCGUUAUCCGGAUUUAUGGGGUUUAAAGGGAGCGUUGGUGGAAUGCCAAGUCAGCGGGAAAAUCGCGGGGCUCAACCUCGCUCCGCCGUUGAAACUGGCGUUCUGGAGUGGGCGAGAGGUAUGCGGAAUGCGUGGUGUAGCGGUGAAAUGCAGAGAUAUCACGCAGAACACCGAUUGCGAAGGCAGCAUACCGGCGUCCAACUGACGCUGAAGCACGAAAGCGUGGGUAUCGAACAGGAUUAGAGACCCUUGUAGUC
rnacentral:rRNA from 1 species